GAACGCCCCGCAAGGGGAGUGGCAGACGGGUGAGUAACACGUGGGAACGUCCCCCUCGGUUCGGAAUAACUCAGGGAAACUUGAGCUAAUACCGGAUACGUCCGAGAGGAGAAAGAUUUAUCGCCGAGGGAUCGGCCCGCGUCUGAUUAGCUAGUUGGUGGGGUAAUGGCCCACCAAGGCGACGAUCAGUAGCUGGUCUGAGAGGAUGAUCAGCCUCACUGGGACUGAGACACGGCCCAGACUCCUACGGGAGGCAGCAGUGGGGAAUAUUGGACAAUGGGCGCAAGCCUGAUCCAGCCAUGCCGCGUGGGUGAUGAAGGCCCUAGGGUUGUAAAGCCCUUUCGGCGGGGAAGAUAAUGACGGUACCCGCAGAAGAAGCCCCGGCUAACUUCGUG
rnacentral:rRNA from 1 species